rnacentral:lncRNA from 1 species
CUAUCUCCUAGUUACCUUAUACUUUUCCUUGUUCUUCUGCCUCUUUUCAUCAUUCUUGAUCUCAACCAACAUAGUAUAAGCCACCUUCUUAGACUCCACCCUCCUCUUAACCUUUUUAUUCCACCACCAGUCACCUUGAUGCUUGCCAGAUUAACCUCUCGAGACACCCAAACCUCUCUAGCAGUCUCCCUAAUGCAACAGGCUGUCAUCUCCC